CUUUCGACUAAUCAUAAACUCUUUUUGUAAUUCCUAUGUGUUGGUUUAGAAUGUCAAAAAUUGGCCGAUGUUGACUCCUAAAGACAUAUAAUUUGUUAGUUAGUUUGUGUGUCAAAUGAGUGUACUGUAUCUUGUGAAACAUUCGAUGAACCUACAAUAACCGUGAUUUGAACAAGGACAAACAUUCAGUUAAAAUACCGUAUUUCCGAACAAGUUAUAAACAAAAAUUGUCACGCGAAGAAUCAUAAAUUUGCACACAUCGACCGUCAUCAUUUGCGUCACUGUCGCAAUAACCAAGAUCUUAUUUUGAGCUUUUGAAGCAAACUGCGUAAUCCUCAAAUACAUUCAAAAAGUGAAGUAAAAAAAUAUAAAAAUCGAAAACCAACCAAAACCAAUGUGAUAUUUGUUUCGGAAAUAAAAUCUGGGUAACUACACCUUUA